GACGAACCGUGCGAACGUUAUUCGGAAUCACUGGGCUUAAAGCGCGUGUAGGCGAGAGGGCACGUCGGUCGCUGAAAUCCCCCGGCUCAACCGGGGAACGGGCGCCGAUACGACCGUCCUGGAGGGACGUAGGGGGACCUGGAACUUCCGGUGGAGCGGUGAAAUGCGUUGAGAUCGGAAGGAACGCCCGUGGCGAAAGCGAGGUCCUGGACGUUUUCUGACGCUGAGACGCGAAAGCCAGGGGAGCGAACGGG
rnacentral:rRNA from 1 species